GAACCACCUAGUUAAUAAAUGUAUGCGUUUUAAAGCAUAAGUACAAAAUAACGGCAAGCAUCGCUUUUGUUUUUGUUAUUUUGUGGAAAGGGCAUACACAAGAUUAAAGACAAAACUUCGAUUACGCUUUAUAGCGCUGUUUGUUUACGCGUCUUUAAUUUAUUUUGUGCUACUCUUUUGCUCAAACGCAGCUGUGUUUGCUGGCUGAUGAAAUUUUUGCAAGCAUUUGAGUUGAGAAGUGUAAAGCGGAUCCGCGAUCAUUUAUUAGAUAAUAAAAGAACGCCAAGCAGUUAGCAUAAUGUAUAGUUCUACAGUGGAAAGCGACAAUGUGCCUAAAAAAGAGGAAAUGGAAAUUAUGACAGAAAAUCUACGUUAUGGAAAUAAUGACAGGGGAAUGCG